UACGUAGGGUGCGAGCGUUGUCCGGAAUUAUUGGGCGUAAAGAGCUUGUAGGCGGUCUGUCGCGUCUGCCGUGAAAUUUCGGGGCUCAACCCCGAACUUGCGGUGGGUACGGGCAGACUAGAGUGUGGUAGGGGAGACUGGAAUUCCUGGUGUAGCGGUGAAAUGCGCAGAUAUCAGGAGGAACACCGAUGGCGAAGGCAGGUCUCUGGGCCACUACUGACGCUGAGGAGCGAAAGCUAGGGGAGCAAACGGG
rnacentral:rRNA from 1 species